GAUGAACGCUGGCGGCGUGCCUAAUACAUGCAAGUCUAUCGCACGUACGAGAAUCUUGCUUCUCUGAUGUUCGCGGCGGACGGUUGAGUAACACGUGGAUAACCUACCUAUAAGACUGGGAUAACUUCGGGAAACCUGAGCUAAUACCGGAUAAUAUUUUGAACCGCAUGUUUCAAAAGUGAAAGACGGUCUUGCUGUCACUUAUAUAUGGAUCCGCGCUUCAUUAGCUAGUUGGUAAGGUAACGGCUUACCAAUGCAACGAUGCAUAGCCGACCUGAGAAGGAGAUGGGCCACACCGGAACUGAGAAACGGCCAAGAGGCCAACGGGAGGCAGCAGUAGGGAAUCUUCCGCAAUGGGCGAAAGAAUGACGGAGCAACGCCGCGUGAGUGAUGAAGGUAUUCGGAUCGUAAAACUCUGUUAUUAGGGAAGAAAAGAUGUGUAAGUAACUGUGCACAUAUUGACGGUACCUAAUCAGAAAGCCACGGCUAACUACGUG
rnacentral:rRNA from 1 species